rnacentral:tRNA from 1 species
GUGUCGCUGGUGUAAUGGUAUCAUGGAAGAUUCCCAUUCUUUCAACCCGAGUUCGAUUCCCGGGCGGAGCA